AAUUGAAUGAUGAAAAUAUCAGACGGAUUCCCAAUGAGAUUUCGAUCUGUGAUCACUACCAGCUACUUCUGACUCUC